rnacentral:RNase_P_RNA from 1 species
CACAGAGACGAGUAAAGGGAAACCUGGAAACGGAACGCGGUAAACCCCAUAAGCAAGAAACUCAAAUUUUGGUAGAGGAGUUUAACUAAUAGAAAUGAAUAUUAGUUAGAAGCGAAAGCUAGAUAGAUGGUUGACACUGGAAACAGGACAAAUCGUGGCUUAUUAUC